AAAUUGAAGAGUUUGAUCAUGGCUCAGAUUGAACGCUGGCGGCAGGCCUAACACAUGCAAGUCGAGCGGUAGCACAGAGAGCUUGCUCUCAGGUGACGAGCGGCGGACGGGUGAGUAAUGUCUGGGAAACUGCCUGAUGGAGGGGGAUAACUACUGGAAACGGUAGCUAAUACCGCAUAA
rnacentral:rRNA from 1 species